AAAGGCCCUCUGAUAUCUAAGUUAGUUUAAUUGGACCUUGAAAAAGAUACAACAAUAGUUAAAGUGGAUGGAGUUUUGUACCAUGGGGAGAGUCAGGUGCCCUUAUCCGUGUGGUGAGAGAGAGAGAGAGAGAGAGAGAGAGAGAGAGAGAGAGAGAGAGAGAGAGUGAGUGAGUGAGUGAGUGAGUGAUUUCUCUAGGAUUUUUGGAAUUACCUUGAAUGCCUUGUGUAGUCAUGUAUUUAUAGGCUCCUUGUAUGCUAGGGUUUUGGGAGAAUAAUAUUUAUUUGGUUAGGAUUAUUCUUUUCUAAAAAGAUGAUAGGAAUUAGUCUUAGAGAUUUGGUAGACAUUGGUUCUUUGAUUUAGGAUGAUAUUCCUAUCUUAAAUCAAAGAUAAUUUCCCUAAUUAAAAAGGAUUUCUUUUCCACGUGUCAUCUUCUUAUUGGCCAGCGAAAUAUGUGUUCCCACACCCACAUCACCAUAAUUAACCAUAAGCCUAAACAAAGCCCACAAACCCAUCAUAACUGAAACCCUAAAACAACUCAUGAGCCUAAAUGAACCCUACCACCACAACUUGAAAAAGCGUCAUCUCGGCCACACCCACUAACAAAUAUGAAGAAAAUAUGAUUUCAACGAUCUACCUGUGCAUAGUAGCGAACAAAUAAACGAAAACAACCCUGUCAAAUAACAAUUGGGUAAUUUGCA
rnacentral:lncRNA from 1 species